rnacentral:rRNA from 1 species
UACGUAGGGUGCGAGCGUUAAUCGGAAUUACUGGGCGUAAAGGGUGCGCAGGCGGCUCCGCAUGUCGGGCGUGAAAGCCCCGGGCUUAACCCGGGAAUGGCGUCCGAAACUAUGGAGCUGGAGUGUGGCAGAGGGAGGUGGAAUUCCACGUGUAGCGGUGAAAUGCGUAGAGAUGCGGAGGAACACCGAUGGCGAAGGCAAUCCCCUGGGCCUGCACUGACGCUCAUGCACGAAAGCGUGGGGAGCAAACAGG